UUUUAAAAUAUUAAUAUAGAAAAAAAAAAAUUACCUUUAUAAUAAUAUAUAUAUAAAUAAUAUUUAUAUAUAUAUUAUAUAUAUAUGUACCAAAAAAAAAAAAAAAAAAAAAAAAUUACCUUUUAUAUAUUUUAUAAAUAUAAAAUUAUAAAUAAGUCUAUUUUUUUCUAAGUAUUUCAUUUUUUAUAUAAUAUAUAUGUUUCUUAAAAUUUUAUAGAUAUAGAAGAAUUUGUAUAUAUAAUAAUAUUUUUAUUAAAUAUUAUUUCUAUAUAUUUAUUUUUCUUAUAAUUUAUUUUGAUUUCUAAAAUCUUUAGAUUUAUUCUUUUAUAACAACUACAAUACCUUUGGUAUAAAUUAAUGUAUAUAUUUUAAUAUAUAUUAUAUUUAUUUAUAUUUUAAAUAUUUUAUGGUUACAUUAAUGAAUUUUUUUUAUUUUUCUUAUAUUAUAUAAAUUUUACAUGUUUAAAAAAAUAAAACUAUUUAAUAAAUAAAGAUAUAUAUAUAUAUAUAUAUAUAUAUAUUUCAUAUUUUUUUUUUUUUUUUUGAAACGACUAAUACAAUAUUAUUGCUCAAACUUUUUUUAUCCAUUUUACUAAUUAAAUAUACACAAAUUAUAUGCUUUAAAACAAAAAACAAUAUAUAUUUUUUUAUUCUUAAAUUAUCAUAUAAAUAUGUCAAAAAAAAGUAAUAAUACAGAAGAUAACAAUAACCAUAAAAAAAGCCAACCUAUAAUUAAAUGUAUAACAAAAUGUGGUACUCAUACAAGUAACUCAAAUAUAAAGAAUGAGAAGAAAAAAAAAAGGUUCAAUAUCUUGUCCGCUAUUGCUAAAAAAAUUUUUUUAAGUGUUAUUGUAUAACAAUGUGCUUCUAUAAAUAUUAAUAAUGUAAGAUAAAAUCUAAAAAAAAAAAUUUUUUUUUUCUUUUUGUUUUUUUCAACAAUAUCAACUUAUAGAAAUUCAUAAUAUUUAAACUUAAUUAUUAUAUAUAUAUAUGUAUGUACAUAUAAUAUGUUUCUUUUUUUUUUUGUUUCUUCCAUUUUUUAAAAAAAAUUCUUUUUUAUAGAAUGACUCAGAUACAUUUAAGUAUGAAAAAAAAUGUCCCAAAAUUUUAAAUACCUUAUUAUAUUAAAACGUUAUAACACACUUAACAGGAAUAUAAAGAGAAAUAUGAAUAAAUAAAUAAAUACAUCAUAAUAUAUAUGAAAUAAUUUUAAUAUAAACAUCUAAAUUGAGUACAUGAAAAAAAAAAAAAUUAUAAUAAUAAUAAACAAUAUAAAAUAAUAAAAUUUUAAGUAACAGAAUGAAUAAAUUGAUAAUAUCAAAAUAUAAAGACUAUCACAAAUAUUAAAAGAGCUUAACCCUAAUUACUAUAAUGGUUGCAAUUGACUGAAGAAGAAAUAUGUCAUAUAAAUAGAAUACUGAAAAAAAUAAAAUAAUAUAUAUUAAAAUAUUUAAAAAAUAAAAUCUAAAUUAUAUACUAUAAGGAUAAAUUGAUUUGGAUAAAUAUAAAUACAUAUAUAUUUUAUAAAGAUACUUAUAUCUAUAAGUAUUUUUUAGGUUCAUAUGAAUAUAUAUAUAUAUAUAUAUAUUUGUAUUAAUUAUAGUUUUUGUUAAAAUAAUACGAACAGCUUGUUAUUUUUUUUUUUUUUAAACCUCCAUUUAUGGGAAGAUUCUUCCUUUCCUUUUAUCUUAUUUUAUUUAUUUUUUUUCUUUUUUAAUUACAACUUAAAUUUUAAAUUUUCAUAUGAACUUUUUAAAAAAAAAA
rnacentral:sRNA from 1 species